UACGUAGGGUGCGAGCGUUGCCCGGAUUUAUUGGGCGUAAAGGGCGCGUAGGCGGCUCUGCACGUCCGUUGUGAAAUCGCCCCGGCUCAACUGGGCGGGGUCAGCGGAUACGGCGGAGCUUGAGCAAGCUAGGGGGGCAAUGGAAUUCCCCGGUGUAGUGGUGGAAUGCGUAGAUAUCGGGAGGAACACCAGUGGCGAAGGCGGUUGCCUGGGGGCUUUUGCUGACG
rnacentral:rRNA from 1 species